UUGACCUCGGAUCAGGUAGGGAUACCCGCUGAACUUAAGCAUAUCAAUAAGCGGAGGAAAAGAAACCAACAGGGAUUGCCCCAGUAACGGCGAGUGAAGCGGCAAGAGCUCAAAUUUGAAAGCUGGCUCCUUCGGGGUCCGCAUUGUAAUUUGCAGAGGAUGCUUCGGGAGCGGUCCCCAUCUAAGUGCCCUGGAACGGGACGUCAUAGAGGGUGAGAAUCCCGUAUGGGAUGGGGUGUCCGCGCCCGUGUGAAGCUCCUUCGACGAGUCGAGUUGUUUGGGAAUGCAGCUCUAAAUGGGUGGUAAAUUUCAUCUAAAGCUAAAUAUUGGCCGGAGACCGAUAGCGCACAAGUAGAGUGAUCGAAAGAUGAAAAGCACUUUGAAAAGAGAGUUAAAAAGCACGUGAAAUUGUUGAAAGGGAAGCGCUUGCGACCAGACUCGCUCGCGGGGUUCAGCCGGCAUUCGUGCCGGUGUACUUCCCCGCGAGCGGGCCAGCGUCGGUUUGGGCGGUCGGUCAAAGGCCUCUGGAAGGUAACGCCCCCUCGGGGGCGUCUUAUAGCCAGGGGUGCAAUGCGGCCUGCCCGGACCGAGGAACGCGCUUCGGCUCGGACGC
rnacentral:rRNA from 1 species